rnacentral:rRNA from 1 species
GAUGAACGCUGGCGGCGUGCCUAAUACAUGCAAGUCGAGCGAACGGACGAGAAGCUUGCUUCUCUGAUGUUAGCGGCGGACGGGUGAGUAACACGUGGAUAACCUACCUAUAAGACUGGGAUAACUUCGGGAAACCGGAGCUAAUACCGGAUAAUAUUUUGAACCGCAUGGUUCAAAAGUGAAAGACGGUCUUGCUGUCACUUAUAGAUGGAUCCGCGCUGCAUUAGCUAGUUGGUAAGGUAACGGCUUACCAAGGCAACGAUGCAUAGCCGACCUGAGAGGGUGAUCGGCCACACUGGAACUGAGACACGGUCAAGACUCCUACGGGAGGCAGCAGUAGGGAAUCUUCCGAAAUGGGCGAAAGCCUGACGGAGCAACGCCGCGUGAGUGAUGAAGGUCUUCGGAUCGUAAAACUCUGUUAUUAGGGAAGAACAUAUGGGUAAGUAACUGGGAAAAUCUUGACGGUACCUAAUAAGAAAGCAACGGCUAACUACGU